GCAGAACCUAUCGCUAUCUGGCUUUGGCAAUGAGCGAAGUCAUCCAGUCAAGAAAAACCUCUCCAGGUGUUAAAUCUAUGUGCAUACCAGAGCAUAAUGGAACCAAGCCUGAGGGUUUCCUGACAUCAGGCAAUGAAGAUCAUAGUGACGAAGACAUUGGACCACACCAGUAUAGAAGGGUGGAGAAGCAGUGUUUGUGGCCGUGUAAUGGAAAGGUUGUGUGGAAACAGAAAAUGUCAGUGUCGUCAGGGAUCCUGGUGUGACACAAUUAUUAGGACAAAUUACUAAGAACUCCGGGCCAUACCAGAACAUUAAAAGGACGUUUGGUCUCCUAAUCUUCAAGCUCUUUCCUGCUGAAAAGUCACAUGAUUCUAACUAGCAACAAACAUACUGCGUGCAAUGUACAAAGAGU